AGCGGCAGCAACGGCGGCACGCCAUCUCUCCGCGUCGAUUUGAAUUCUCAACGGCUGCGCCAGGCAAGUCAACGCUUGUUGCUGCUGGUGAGCUGCCUGCACCUUGGUGUCUGUGUAUUCGUCUCGACUUUGUGGCAUCACACGUCAACUACACUGAACGCGGGUGUCAUAGACUGCCAGGGAAUUUUCAUGAAAACAGCCAGGGAAAGCUUGGAAAAACAUCAGGGAAAUUGAAAAUGACAACAUAGCAUGCACCUGCAGCACCUUCGGAACGGCUGACACGAAGGUCAAGGCCAGCCAGGCAACCGUGCUUGCCAAGGGGAAGCAGCUUUAAAUAUGUAAAUAUUCUCUUUUGAUGAUAGCAUAAGACAUGCAUUUUAAUAAAUUAAUGUAUUAUAUCGUUCAAUAAAACAGUUAAUUCAAUAUCGGUGCACUUGUUUUCUUUUUUGCACUACAUGAGUCUGCACUAGUGGAAUUGCUUGAAAUAUUUCUUUCUGCUACAUAUGAGAGUACAGCUGGUUCAGGAUCAUUAUUAAUCUAUUAACAUGAAUGCAUAAAUGCAGAUGGGAAGCAACAGGUGCACAUGCAUAAUAUACGUUCAAAAUUUUGUUGCCGCCAUAUGUAAACAAAAAUUUUAACUACCUUGUAGAUAGAUUUCAUUCAAGCGAAUGCAUUGCAUGCGACUAAACUUUCUUCAAUGUGCAAUUACACAAAUGCUCAUGCAGCUUUACAUAAUGAUUCACGGCUGCAUACAUUUUAGAUUUUUGACUGCUUCCAUCUGCAUGCAUGCUUUUCUAUGUACAGUUCCCUAUGUAUGUUCCCAUAUGCAUACUGGAUACAAUAAAUUUUUAUAGACAUUUCCAAUAAUCUGCUUAUUAGCAAACCCCAGCAGCGAGUGUUUAUGGAAUAACAUUGCCUGCCGAAACAUAGUUAGAAAAAUGUGGUGUAUUAUCUAGUAUAUAUGGUGUCCCAGUAAUUUUAGCCAAGCUGGUCAAUGAAAAUGAAAGGUUAAAAACAACACGGUGCAAGAUAUAUGAUCAUAAAAAGACCUGAAGGUCAGACCUCUGAAUUCAAGGCCGA